rnacentral:rRNA from 1 species
UACGUAGGUGGCAAGCGUUGUCCGGAUUUAUUGGGUUUAAAGGGUGCGUAGGCGGUCCCAUAAGUCAGUGGUGAAAUACUCUAGCUUAACUAGAGGGGUGCCAUUGAUACUGCGGGACUUGAGUGCAGUCGAGGUAGGCGGAAUUGACGGUGUAGCGGUGAAAUGCUUAGAUAUCGUCAAGAACACCGAUAGUGAAGACAGCUUACUAGACUGUAACUGACGCUGAGGCACGAAAGUGUGGGGAUCAAAACAGG